rnacentral:rRNA from 1 species
AACCAAGAGGAAAUUAAUUAAGGCGGGGCUAUACAUGCAAGUCGAGCGGACCUCUUCGGAGGUCAGCGGCGGACGGGUGAGUAACACGUGGGCAACCUGCCUGUAAGACUGGGAUAACUCCGGGAAACCGGAGCUAAUACCGGAUAACCUUUUGAACCGCAUGGUUCAAAAUUGAAAGACGGUUAUGCUGUCACUUACAGAUGGGCCCGCGGCGCAUUAGCUAGUUGGUGAGGUAAUGGCUCACCAAGGCGACGAUGCGUAGCCGACCUGAGAGGGUGAUCGGCCACACUGGGACUGAGACACGGCCCAGACUCCUACGGGAGGCAGCAGUAGGGAAUCUUCCGCAAUGGACGAAAGUCUGACGGAGCAACGCCGCGUGAGUGAUGAAGGUUUUCGGAUCGUAAAGCUCUGUUGUCAGGGAAGAACAAGUGCGGGAGUCACUGCCCGUGCCUUGACGGUACCUGACCAGAAAGCCACGGCUAACUACGUGCCAGCAGCCGCGGUAAUACGUAGGUGGCAAGCGUUGUCCGGAAUUAUUGGGCGUAAAGCGCGCGCAGGCGGUCUUUUAAGUCUGAUGUGAAAGCCCCCGGCUCAACCGGGGAGGGUCAUUGGAAACUGGAGGACUUGAGUGCAGAAGAGGAGAGUGGAAAUUCCACGUGUAGCGGUGAAAUGCGUAGAGAUGUGGAGGAACACCAGUGGCGAAAGCGACUCUCUGGUCUGUAACUGACGCUGAGGCGCGAAAGCGUGGGGAGCGAACAGGAUUAGAUACCCUGGUAGUCCACGCCGUAGACGAUGAGUGCUAAGUGUUAGAAGGGUUUCCGCCCUUUAGUGCUGCAGCUAACGCAUUAAGCACUCCGCCUGGGGGAGUACGUCGCAGACUGAAACUCAAAAGGAGUUGACUGGGGCCCGCAACAAGCGGUGGGAGCAUGGUGGUUAAUUCGAAGCAACGCGAAGAACAUACAGUCUGACAUCUCUGCACUCGAGAAUGGAGUUCCCGUCGGGGGACGAUGACAGGUGGGGCAUGCAUGUCGUCACCUCGUUCUGUGAAUGUCGGGUUAGUACGCACGAUGCUACCACGACUUAUGCAGCAUUCAGUUGGUACUCUAAGU